UUUAAAUGGCCGCAGUAUACUAACUGUGCAAAGGUAGCAUAAUCAUUAGUCUUUUAAUUGAAGGCUGGUAUGAAUGGUUGGACGAGAUAUUAACUGUUUCACAUAAAUUUAUAAUAGAAUUUUAUUUUUUAGUUAAAAAGCUAAAAUAAAAUUAAAAGACGAGAAGACCCUAUAAAUCUUUAUAUUUAAAUUAUUAGAAUUUUGAAGAUUUAUUUUAUUAUAAUAAUUGAUAAUAUUUUAUUGGGGUGAUAUUAAAAUUUAAUAAACUUUUAAUUAUUUUAAACAUUAAUUUAUGAAUAAUUGAUCCGUUAAUAACGAUUAAAAAAUUAAGUUACUUUAGGGAUAACAGCGUAAUUUUUUUGGAGAGUUCAUAUCGAUAAAAAAGAUUGCGACCUCGAUGUUGGAUUAAGAUAUAAUUUUAGGUGUAGCCGCUUAAAUUUUAAGU
rnacentral:rRNA from 1 species